rnacentral:rRNA from 1 species
UACGUAGGGUGCAAGCGUUUAAUCGGAAUUACUGGGCGUAAAGCGUGCGCAGGCGGUUUUGUAAGUCUGUCGUGAAAUCCCCGGGCUCAACCUGGGAAUGGCGAUGGAGACUGCAAGGCUAGAGUUUGGCAGAGGGGGGUAGAAUUCCACGUGUAGCAGUGAAAUGCGUAGAUAUGUGGAGGAACACCGAUGGCGAAGGCAGCCCCCUGGGUCAAAACUGACGCUCAUGCACGAAAGCGUGGGGAGCAAACAGG